AUAUUAAAAAUCAACCGUUUGUGAAUCAAUGCUGGUUGGGCUAGCAAAUCAACGCGGCGUUAUUCACGCGUAUAUCGGUGUAUUCGGUGAGUUAUCGCGUAUUAUUAACGCGCAUACCUUACCAUCUAGUAGACAAAUCGUCGUUAACGUAACUGGUUGAAACCAGACGACAAAAAUGGCAACGUUUUCCUCUAGAAUGUGUCGCCAAUCUCCAGCGUGUAUUGUUUUUGAUCUAACAAUAGCGACCAUGGUUGGAGGUUGUGUGUCAACAAGCAAACGCGGCCAUAAUAAAUUUUUUGCU
rnacentral:rRNA from 1 species